rnacentral:tRNA from 1 species
AACCAGAUAGCUCAGCGGUAGAGCAGUGGCUUGAAAAGCCAUUGGUCGGUGGUUCAAAUCCGCCUCUGG